rnacentral:rRNA from 1 species
UACAGAGGGUGCAAGCGUUCAUCGGAAUUACUGGGCGUAAAGCGUGCGUAGUCGGUUAUUUAAGUCGGGCGUGAAAGCCCCGGGCUCAACCUGGGAAUUGCAUUUGAGACUGAAUAGCUAGGGUGCGGAAGAGGGAAGCGGAAUUUCCGGUGUAGCGGUGAAAUGCGUAGAUAUCGGAAGGAACACCAGUGGCGAAAGCGGCUUCCUGGUCCAGCACCGACGUUCAGGCACGAAAGCGUGGGGAGCAAACAGG